CUGGCUUCCCAUCGUCCACUCUCCCGACCGUCGCUGGUGGGUCUGCUGGUAGACAUCAAUCAUACCAAGAAGCUUGCCACUCUCAAUAUCUCUCUGUAAUUUAAAAAUUAAUUAAAAAAAUUUAAAUAACUAGAGAAUUAUAUGCUAAUUAGAAAUUAAAAAUUACCUAUCAUAUGCUCCAUGUGAAGAGCAAACGAUCUCGAACCCCCACAAUACGGCACGAUCUAUCUCGUCCGAUUCAUCGCAUUCUGGGCACAUCAUCUUUGUAAAAUUAUCAGUCAAA
rnacentral:lncRNA from 1 species